GAGUUGUUUUUGAGUUCAAUUGUGUUUUGUGCUUAUCUUAUAUUCAUAUAGCAUUCAAAGAUCCACGGUGCAUAUUGUCUUGGCAUCUUCCAAAACGAAAAGGAUCCAACAACCCUUCUAGGAGGAAUCAUUGUACGUAAUACUCUGGUUACUUAUGACCGGGAACAAUCGAAAAUUGGUUUCUGGAAGACUAAUUGUUCUGAGCUAUGGGAAAUGCUGCACAUACGUGGUGCGCCAUCACCAUCUCCAUCGUCACGUGACAGAGUAAUUCAACUGAGUCACCAGCUACAUCAGCUCCUGAUGGAUCACCACAUGAUAUUCCAGAUGAAACUGAGAUGAUAAAAAUUACAUUGGAUAUGUCAUUGAGCACAACUACUCAUACCUAAAGCCUCAGAUCAUCAAUCUGACAGAGUUCAUUGCUAAGGAUUUAGACGUCAAUGCUUCACAGGUCAUUUAUUGAAUUUUAGUCUGAAGGAAAUGGUUCAUGUCCGAUGGGACAUCACCCCUUCAGGAUCAUCAACUUACAUUUCUCAUGAGAGUGCAGAAAUAUAAUCUCUCGACUCGUUGAACACCACGUGAAGCUUCCUGAUAGCUUUGGAAAUUAUAAGUUGGUGCAAUGGAAAGUUGAAUCUUACAUGAAACAGACAUGGUGGCAGCGAAAUGGUGUGCCGGUUGUUGUGGCGGUUAUCGUGGUAAUAGUGGUUGGAUUAUCAGUUUAUGGAGUUUGGGGAAUGUGGAAACGCAAACAACAAAACGGUGAAUACAUAUAAACCUGUUGGUGCAGCUGUUCCGGAACAAGAACUUCAGCCACUAUAGUCUCUUUUCGGUUUUGGUUCCAGGUUUGGGAUAUGGCUUCUGAAUCCAUAUAGUUUAAUGGUGAAAGCGUUCUUUUUUCUUCUUCUUGCUCAUUAUUUCAAGAUUAGAAGUAUACAAAAGGAUUUUCCAAAGUGAGAGGAACUACUAAUCAAUAAAUAUGAAUCAGUUAAGAGGCUCAUUAAACAAUAUGUAUAGGUUUUGAUUGACAAGUUUUCUUUUGUUUGCGUUGCAACUUGCAAAUCUUCGGCAGACAAUAUUAGAGGCAAGAGCAGAUAGAUUUGGGUCUUGGUAUUGAAAAUUUGGGCACAACAUAUAUAAUUUUGAAUAAUUUUCUUAAUAUAAUUAAUGAAAUUAUUUUCUUCGUUUA